rnacentral:rRNA from 1 species
AGAGUUUGAUCAUUGGCUACAGAACGAACGCUGGCGGCAGGCUUAACACAUGCAAGUCGAACGGGUGUAGCAAUACAUCAGUGGCAGACGGGUGAGUAACACGUGGGAACCUUCCUAGAGGUACGGAACAACUCAGGGAAACUUGAGCUAAUACCGUAUACGCUCUUGCGAGGAAAGAUUUAUCGCCUUUAGACGGGCCCGCGUCGGAUUAGCUAGUUGGUGGGGUAACGGCCUACCAAGGCGACGAUCCGUAGCUGAUCUGAGAGGAUGAUCAGCCACACUGGGACUGAGACACGGCCCAGACUCCUACGGGAGGCAGCAGUGGGGAAUCUUGGACAAUGGGCGCAAGCCUGAUCCAGCCAUGCCGCGUGAGUGAAGAAGGCCUUCGGGUUGUAAAGCUCUUCUGCCAGGGACGAUAAUGACGGUACCUGGAGAAUAAGCCCCGGCAAACUUCGUG